rnacentral:rRNA from 1 species
ACCCGCUGAACUUAAGCAUAUCAAUAAGCGGAGGAAAAGAAACCAACAGGGAUUGCCUCAGUAACUGCGAGUGAAGCGGCAAGAGCUCAAAUUUUAAAUCUGGCGUCUUUGGGCGUCCGAGUUGUAAUUUGGAGAGACAUCUUCGGAGAAGGGGCCGUUUUAAGUUCCUUGGAACAGGACGUCACAGAGGGUGAGAAUCCCGUGCUCGGGCGGCUACCCAUCUCCAUGUGAAGUGUCUUCGACGAGUCGAGUUGUUUGGGAAUGCAGCUCAAAAUGGGUGGUAAAUUUCAUCUAAAGCUAAAUAUUGGCGAGAGACCGAUAGCGCACAAGUAGAGUGAUCGAAAGAUGAAAAGCACUUUGAAAAGAGAGUUAAAAAGUACGUGAAAUUGUUGAAAGGGAAGCGCUCGAGACCAGACUCGACGUUCACCGAUCAGCCGUGCUUCUGUGCGGUGCACUCGGGGUUUGUCGGGCCAGCAUCGGUUCCGGCGGUGGGAUAAAAGGCGAUGGAAUGUGGCUCCCCUCGGGGAGUGUUAUAGCCAACGUCACAAUGCCACCAGCUGGGACCGAGGAACGCGCUUCGGCGAGGAUGCUGGCGUAAUGGUCUUUAGCGACCCGUCUUGAAACACGG